CCCCUGGUGGCUCAGACAGUAAAGAGUCUGCCUGCAAUGCAGGAGACUCAGGUUCGAUCCCUGGCUGGGGAA
rnacentral:tRNA from 1 species